GGAAGGCCUACGGGUCGUCAACUUCUUUUCUCGGAGAAGAAACAAUGACGGUAUCUGAGGAAUAAGCAUCGGCUAACUCUGUGCCAGCAGCCGCGGUAAGACAGAGGAUGCAAGCGUUAUCCGGAAUGAUUGGGCGUAAAGCGUCUGUAGGGGGCUUUUCAAGUCCGCCGUCAAAUCCCAGGGCUCAACCCUGGACAGGCGGGGGAAACUACCAAGCUGGAG
rnacentral:ncRNA from 1 species